ensembl:lncRNA
ACUCCACCCCACGCCGACUUCAGAGCAAGCCCCUUCUGAAUGGCAGAGGGGAUAUGAGGGCCAGACAGGAUGGCAGGAGCUUCAGCAGCUGCUUUGGAUUCUGAGCUGAAAUGAGGAUGGAGGUCAAAGGCUCAACAUGGUGAAGAAAAAAUACAGAAGAAACUUAAAUUUCUGAUGAGAGAUUUCAUGGUGCUAUUAUCUCAGCUCUAGACUGUCUCCUGUAGACUUCUUUUAUGAGAGAAAAAUCAAACUUUACCUUGUUCAAGCCAUUUCUACUAAACAUACCAUACUUUUAAUAAAACUGGGAGUAUGAGAAUUAGUUCAAUAAAAUUCUCUUCAGUGAACACUUUUCUUCGCUUUGGAACAGGUACACAUAUAGAAAUGUAUCAGCCUUCUAGGUGGCACAGUGGUAAAGAACCCGCUCACCAGUGCAGGAGACAGAAGAGAUGGGGUUCAGUCCCUGGGUCGGGAAGAUCCCCUGGAGAAGGAAAUGGCAACCCGCUCCAGUAUUCUCACCUGGAAAAUUCCAUGGACGGAGGAGGCUGGUGGGCUAUAGUCCUUGGGGUUGAAAAAGAGUUGGACAGACUUAGCAACAAAACAAAAUAAAAACAAUAGAAAUGUAUGAAAGCUAAAUAUAAUGUGGACAAAGACUGUUGCCUGCUAUCAAGCUGUCAGUCACUGCAGCAGCCAGGACAGUGCACCCUAAGGGGAAUUCAGGAUUAAGAAAAACAGGAUAAUGACCCUAGAGAGUUGAUACAUAUCAAAGAAAAAAUUUCAAUGAACCCAGACUCUUGCAUUUUACUACACAUUGAAAAGCACUAAAAUCAUAAACUUGAGAUGUCUGUUUGUUGUGAUUAGCAGUAACCACUUGAUUUUUUUUUUUUUUAUAG